rnacentral:rRNA from 1 species
CUACGGGACGCUGCAGUGAGGAAUUUUGCGCAAUGGGGGGAACCCUGACGCAGCAACGCCGCGUGAGUGAAGAAGGCCUUUGGGUCGUAAAGCUCUGUCGAUAGGGAAGAAGUUAUUAUGAUUUAAUAGAUGAUAGUAUUGACGGUACCUAUAGAGGAAGCACCGGCUAACUCCGUGCCAGCAGCCGCGGUAAUACUGGGGGGUGCAAGCGUUAUUCGGAAUUAUUGGGCGUAAAGGGCGCGUAGGCGGUCUUGUCGGUCAGAUGUGAAAGCCCGGGGCUCAACCCUGGACGCGCAUUUGAAACAGCAAGACUUGAGUACGGGAGAGGAAAGCGGAAUUCCUGGUGUAGAGGUGAAAUUCGUAGAUAUCAGGAGGAACACCGAUGGCGAAGGCAGCUUUCUGGACCGAUACUGACGCUGAGGCGCGAAGGCGUGGGUAGCGAACGGGAUUAGAUACCCGCGUAGUC